AUUGAACGCUGGCGGCAUGCCUUACACAUGCCAGUCGAACGGCAGCACGGGUGCUUGCACCUGGUGGCGAGUGGCGAACGGGUGAGUAAUACAUCGGAACAUGUCCUGUAGUGGGGGAUAGCGCGGCGAAAGCCGGAUUAAUACCGCAUACGAUCCACGGAUGAAAGCGGGGGACCUUCGGGCCUCGCGCUAUAGGGUUGGCCGAUGGCUGAUUAGCUAGAUGGUGGGGUAAAGGCCUACCAAGGCGACGAUCAGUAGCCGGUCUGAGAGGACGACCAGCCACACUGGGACAGAGACACGGCCCAGACUCCUACGGGAGGCAGCAGUGGGGAAUUUUGGACAAUGGGCGAAAGCCUGAUCCAGCAAUGCCGCGUGUGUGAAGAAGGCCUUCGGGUUGUAAAGCACUUUUGUCCGGAAAGAAAUCCUUGACUCUAAUACAGUCGGGGGAUGACGGUACCGGAAGAAUAAGCACCGGCUAACUACG
rnacentral:rRNA from 1 species